GUUCAGCUAAUACAGGGGAGGGCCAAAGGGGAUUCCCCCUCCCUUAUGAAGCUUCCUGGUAGUGUUAUAAAUUUUUUAGUCGUUCCCCUAAUAAAUUGAUGGUUUCUUUCCUUGAUCCUUUCCACUUUCCUCUAUCACCAUGUCAUUACAUGUAUUUAAGAUGCGCUAUAUUCAGCAGCUGUCAGAACAGGAUCAGAACCCCCCAAUAUAUACCGGGGAUGUUUUGGGAAACGUUAACUAAAUAAUUGUAAGAGAUGCCUAGCCAUGUUUGGGGACUGGGUACAUGUAUAUACAUUUUUUGUACAUGUAAACUGUAUGUAAGCAGCAAAUACUACAUGUACCAAUUCAGUGUCUUAAAAUUUGUUUUCCAACAUCUAUAUGGUCUGGUGGUGGUUCUCCUAAUAAGGAGGAAUAUGCGGAAAUUAUGGCCAUUACUGGCAGCUGGCAUUAUUCCCAUUUAAUUUAAUGCUACAAAUGUUUUAAAAAAAUGAAUUUAAGUCAUUAAAGUGUCACCAUUUCAAUAAAUUUAUCAACAUACGUCCUAGUCAAAAUAAUUAUGACGUCUUGAAAGGCUAUUAUAAG
rnacentral:lncRNA from 1 species